CCGGAUUUACUGGGCGUAAAGGGUGCGUAGGCGGUCUUUCAAGUCAGGAGGGAAAGGCUACGGCUCAACCGUAGUAAGCUCUUGAAACUGGGAGACUUGAGUGCAGGAGAGGAGAGUGGAAUUCCUAGUGUAGCGGUGAAAUGCGUAGAUAUUAGGAGGAACACCAGUUGCGAAGGCGGCUCUCUGGACUGUAACUGACGCUGAGGCACGAAAGCGUGGGGAGCAAACAGGAUUAGAUACCCUGGUAGUCCACGCUGUAAACGAUGAGUACUAGGUGUCGGGGGUUACCCCC
rnacentral:rRNA from 1 species